rnacentral:rRNA from 1 species
UACGAAGGGGGCGAGCGUUAUUCGGAAUCACUGGGCGUAAAGCGUGCGUAGGCUGUUCGGCAAGUUGGAAGUGAAAGCCCAGGGCUCAACCCUGGAAUUGCUUUCAAAACUGCCGAACUAGAGUCCGGGAGAGGAUAGCGGAAUUUCCAGUGUAGUAGUGAAAUUCGUAGAUAUUGGGAAGAACACCGGUGGCGAAGGCGGCUCUCUGGACCGUAACUGACGCUGAGGCGCGAAAGCGUGGGGAGCAAACAGG